ACGGCUCAGUAACACGUCGGUAACCUACCCUCGGGAGGGGGAUAACCCCGGGAAACUGGGGCUAAUUCCCCAUAGGCCUGAGGUACUGGAAGGUCCUCAGGCCGAAAGGGACUUAUGUCCGCCCGAGGAUGGGCCGGCGGCCGAUUAGGUAGUUGGUGGGGUAAUGGCCCACCAAGCCGAAGAUCGGUACGGGCUGUGAGAGCAGGAGCCCGGAGAUGGACACUGAGACACGGGUCCAGGCCCUACGGGGCGCAGCAGGCGCGAAACCUCCGCAAUGCGGGAAACCGCGACGGGGGGACCCCGAGUGCCGUGGCAACGCCACGGCUUUUCCGGAGUGUAAAAAGCUCCGGGAAUAAGGGCUGGGCAAGGCCGGUGGCAGCCGCCGCGGUAAUACCGGCGGCCCGAGUGGUGGCCGCUAUUAUUGGGCCUAAAGCGUCCGUAGCCGGGCCCGUAAGUCCCUGGCGAAAUCCCACGGCUCAACCGUGGGGCUUGCUGGGGAUACUGCGGGUCUUGGGACCGGGAGAGGCGGGGGGUACCCCUGGGGUAGGGGUGAAAUCCUAUAAUCCCAGGGGGACCGCCAGUGGCGAAGGCGCCCCGCUGGAACGGGUCCGACGGUGAGGGACGAAGGCCAGGGGAGCAAACCGGAUUAGAUACCCGGGUAGUCCUGGCUGUAAAGGAUGCGGGCUAGGUGUCGGGUGAGCCUCGAGCUCGCCCGGUGCCGUAGGGAAGCCGUUAAGCCCGCCGCCUGGGGAGUACGGCCGCAAGGCUGAAACUUAAAGGAAUUGGCGGGGGAG
rnacentral:rRNA from 1 species